AUUGAACGCUGGCGGCGUGCUUAACACAUGCAAGUCGAUCGGUAACAGGUGUAGCAAUACAUGCUGACGAGAGGCGGACGGGUGAGUAAUGCUUGGGAAUCUGCCUAUUAGGUGGGGGACAACCCGGGGAAACUCGGGCUAAUACCGCAUACGCUCUACGGAGGAAAGCCGGGGACCGCAAGGCCUGGCGCUAAUAGAUGAGCCCAAGUCGGAUUAGCUAGUUGGUAGGGUAACGGCCUACCAAGGCGACAAUCCGUAGCUGGUCUGAGAGGACGACCAGCCACACCGGAACUGAGACACGGUCCGGACUCCUACGGGAGGCAGCAGUGGGGAAUAUUGGACAAUGGGGGCAACCCUGAUCCAGCGACGCCGCGUGGGUGAAGAAGGCCUGCGGGUUGUAAAG
rnacentral:rRNA from 1 species